rnacentral:rRNA from 1 species
GUACUAGCCUGCUAGUAUGUCAGCUAAGUGGCGGACGGGUGAGUAAUGUAUAGUUAAUCUGCCCCCUAGAGAGGGAUAACUACUGGAAACGGUAGCUAAUACCUCAUACUCCUUCUUCCUUAAUGGAAGUUGGGAAAUGUCUUUUCGCUAGGGGAUGAGACUAUAUGGUAUCAGGUAGUUGGUGGGGUAAGAGCCCACCAAGCCAAUGACGCCUAGCUGGUCUGAGAGGAUGAUCAGCCACACUGGAACUGAGACACGGUCCAGACUCCUACGGGAGGCAGCAGUGGGGAAUAUUGCACAAUGGAGGAAACUCUGAUGCAGCAACGCCGCGUGGAGGAUGACACAUUUCGGUGC